AGUGAACGCUGGCGGUAGGCCUAACACAUGCAAGUCGAACGGCAGCACAUUAAGAGCUUGCUCUUACGGGUUGCGAGUGGCGGACGGGUGAGGAAUACAUCGGACUCUACUUUUUCGUGGGGGAUAACGUAGGGAAACUUACGCUAAUACCGCAUACGACCUACGGGUGAAAGCAGGGGAUCUUCGGACCUUGCUCGAUUGAAUGAGCCGAUGUCGGAUUAGCUAGUUGGCGGGGUAAAGGCCCACCAAGGCGACGAUCCGUAGCUGGUCUGAGGGGAUGAUCAGCCACACUGGAACUGAGACACGGUCCAGACUCCUACGGGAGGCAGAAGUGGGGAAUAUUGGACAAUGGGCGCAAGCCUGAUCCAGCCAUACCGCGUGGGUGAAGAAGGCCUUCGGGUUGUAAAGCCCUUUUGUUGGGAAAGAAAGGCAGCAGGUUAAUACCCCGCUGUUCUGACGGUACCCAAAGAAUAAGCACCGGCUAACUUCGUG
rnacentral:rRNA from 1 species